rnacentral:rRNA from 1 species
AAGAACUUUGAAGAGAGAGUUCAAAAGUACGUGAAACCGUUCUGGGGUAAACGUGAAAAGUCCGAAAGGUCAAACGGGUGAGAUUCACGUCCAUCUGGCCACUGGCCUCCGCUCUCGGCAGAUGGGGCCGGCCGCCCGCGCGGAGUAAUCCGCGGCGGGGUCGUGUCCGGUUGUUUUUCCACUCGCCGCGGGGUGAAGCCGUUCCAGUGUGCGGUGGACCGCACUUCUCCCCUAGUAGGACGUCGCGACCCGCUGGGUGUCGGCCUACGGCCUGGGUGCGCAGCCUGUCCUUCCGCGGGCCUCGGUUCGCGUCUGUUGGGCAGAGCCCCGGUGCUCUCGGCUGGCUGCUCGGCGGUAUAUCUCGAGGAGUCAAUUCGCCAACUUUUGGGCGCCCGGGCUCCUGGCAAGUGUGCGCGGUUCUUCCCGGAUAACGGACCUACCUGGCCCGGCCCCGGACCCGCGCCGCUGUUGGCUCGGGAAGCUCUCGGGCGGAAUGAUCGCUCCCGUCAGCGGCGCUUCAGCUUUGGACAAUUUCACAACCCGUCUUGAAACACGGACCAAGGAGU